rnacentral:rRNA from 1 species
UAAGGGCGUAUGGGGGAUGUCUUGGCGUCAGAAGGCGAUGAAAGGCGUGGAAGUCUGCGAAAAGCCUGGGUGAGUUGACAAACAAACGUUGACCCCGGGAUUCCUGAGCUAACCCGGUGAACUGAAACAUCUAAGUAACCGGAGGAAAAGAAAGAAAAAUCGAUUCCCUGAGUAGCGGCGAGCGAAAUGGGAAGAUUGCCCAAACCGCGGUGGUUUCCGCCGUGGGGUUGUAGGGCCUUUCACAUGGGAGUUACCAAGUGAGUCGUUAGUUGAACCGUUUGGAAAGGCGGGCCACAGAGGGUGAUAGCCCCGUAAACGAAAAUGAUCUCACCUCCCGAAGGGUACCUGAGUAGGUCGGGUCACGUGGAACCCUGACUGAAUCUACGGGGACCAUCCCGUAAGGCUAAAUACUCUCUGACGACCGAUAGUGAACCAGUAGGGCGACUGAAUGAUGAGAAGAACCCCGUCGAGGGGAGGAUAGUGAACCUGAAACCAUACGCUUACAAGCGGUCGGAGCACUAUGGCCUUCGGGCAAUGUGUGACGGCGUGCCUUUUGCAUAAUGAUCCGGCGAGUUACCGUCUGCGGCAGGUUAAGGCCUUACGGGCUGUAGCCACAGGGAAACCGAGUCUUAAUAGGGCGUUACGUCGUAGGUGGUAGACGCGAAACCUGGUGAUCUACCCAUGAGCAGGUUGAAGCGCGGGUUAUACUGCGUGGAGGACCGAACCCACUUGGGUUGAAAACCGAGGGGAUGACUUGUGGGGAGGAGUGAAAGUCUAAUCAAACCAGGAGAUAGCUCGUUCUCUCCGAAAUAUCUUUAGGGAUAGCCUCGAGCCACUCUGCAUUGGGGGUAGAGAUACUGAAUUGGAUGGGGGCCCUUCCCGGGGUACCUCACUGAACCAAACUCCGAAUACCAAUGUAAUUAUCUCGGGAGUCAGUCCGCGGGGGAUAAGCUCCGCGGUCGAGAGGGAAACAACCCAGACCAUCGGCUAAGGUCCCGAAGUCGUACUCAGUCACUAAGGAAGUUGAGUUGCCGUGACAGCUAGGAUGUUGGCUUAGAAGCAGCCACCAUUUAAAAAGUGCGUAACAGCUUACUAGUCGAGCAAUUCUGCGCCGAUAAUGAACGGGAGUAAGUGCGACACCGAAGCCGUGGGUUCAGCUUACGCUGAGCGGUAGGAGAGCGCUGUACAUCAGAUACAAGCCGUACCGAAAGGAGCGGUGUCGGGGUGUACAGGUGAUUAUGCCGGAAUGAGUAACGAUAAAGCAGGUGAGAAUCCUGCUCGCCGAAAGCCUAAGGUUUCCUGGGGAAGGCAAUUCCGCCCAGGGUUAGCCGGUUCCUUAGUCGAGGCCGAAAGGCGUAGACGAUGGAUAGCAGGUCAACAUUCCUGCGCCACAAUGUGGAGUGAUGGAGGGACGGCGUCCGGAGGGUACCAUGGAUGUGUAGAAUUACGCCAUGGUGCGGCACUGAGAUGGUGGGAUAGGAAAAUCCGCCCGCAUAAUUCAAGGUGUUGAACUAACAGCAUUUAAGUUCUGGUAGUAUCGGAAGGACGUCCAAGAAAAGCUUCUAAACUUUGAAGCAUUGUGACCGUACUAAAACUGACACAGGUAGGCGAGACGAGAAGUCUAAGGCGCUCGGGAGAACGGUGGUUAAGGAACUCUGCAAAAUGGCCCCGUAAGUUCGCGAUAAGGGGUGCCUCUGGCGGUUCACGCUGCUGGAGGCCACAGUAAAUCGGCUCCUGCGACUGUUUAUCAAAAACACAGGUCUCUGCUAACACGUAAGUGGAUGUAUAGAGACUGACGCCUGCCCGGUGCCGGUAGGUUAAGGAAGACGGUUAUCCCCUCGGGGAGAAGCUGGCGACCGAAGCCCCGGUAAACGGCGGCCGUAACUAUGACGG